rnacentral:rRNA from 1 species
AAUCCAUAGGUUAAUGAGGCGAACCGGGGGAACUGAAACAUCUAAGUACCCCGAGGAAAAGAAAUCAACCGAGAUUCCCCCAGUAGCGGCGAGCGAACGGGGAGGAGCCCAGAGCCUGAAUCAGCAUGUGUGUUAGUGGAAGCGUCUGGAAAGGCGCGCGAUACAGGGUGACAGCCCCGUACACAAAAGCGCAUGUGCUGUGAGCUCGAUGAGUAGGGCGGGACACGUGGUAUCCUGUCUGAAUAUGGGGGGACCAUCCUCCAAGGCUAAAUACUCCUGACUGACCGAUAGUGAACCAGUACCGUGAGGGAAAGGCGAAAAGAACCCCGGCGAGGGGAGUGAAAAAGAACCUGAAACCGUGUACGUACAAGCAGUGGGAGCCCCACCACCAAAGCAUUCUCUGGUGUUGAAGGCCCUGCAAAGCAGCAUCGCGGUGGCGGAG